CAGAAAGACGAGUCGGGCCCCUGAAAACAGGCAGCACGCUAUCUAAUGGGCCGCCGCCCUUUGCACUGCCUCUCGGGGGCCGCAGUGCCGUCACCUCGCCUCUCUUCGCCAGGUGUGCGCCGGCUACAACUCACCUGUAACGAGUGGCUGUGCACUUCUGCGGAUCAGGAAGAUAAAGCUCCAAAACUUCUAAAAUGGAGUGGCUUCAGGAUGGACGCAGAGCAGCAUAAAGCAUCAACAUGCAAUUUAAAAUAAAAAAGAAAAACAAAAAACCCCAAGGGCUCAAGUCUACAAAGGCUUCAUGCAGCUGGGCUCUGAGGUCAGUUGCUAAUUAUUCUGUAAACUGAAGCUGCUGCUGAAGCAUCCCAUUAAAUAUCACCAAGGACAUUACAAACUCGGUUGGGCGGGGGGAUGGCUUACAAGCCAGAACAGGGUGUGCCUGCAUCGCAAGGACUCUGCUGGCAGACGCUGCAUCCUCAGAGAAGCCACCAGAGCGGCUGUGCUCGACAGCUCUGCUGCUGCAGCCUCGCCAGUGGGACGCGCGAUGCACCUGGCGGCCGGCGGGCGGGCGGGCAGGUGGGAGCGCUGCCGGCAACUGGAGCAGGCCGAGCCGCCGCCGGCAGAAGGCGCAGGCCUGGCUCCGUGCCCGCCGAGGAAGGGUUUUGCUGCCACAAGGGAACCAAACGUGUGCAUGUACUCGCGAUGUUCAUAGGACCUGAAUCCUGCUCGCUGUUGCCCAAAGUUUGGUUGGUUGGUUUUGUUUUUUUUAAAGGAAGAAGAAAUUUCUUAAAGACUGUACCUUUAUAAAUAAAAAAGGGAAAAAUACUGUUAA